UGGUUUAUGGUUUAUAGUCCAUAAGAUUUGGUAUAUGGUUCAUGGGAUUUGGUCCAUGAGAUGUGGUAGGAUUUGUUUCAUGGACUUGGGUAUGAAUCCAAGUUGGAAGUCGGGUUUGGGUUCUAUUUGUGGUCCGGAUUGGAUUUGAGUUUAGAAUUUUAUUUGUGGAUUGGUUGGUUUUGGGCUUAUCUGUGGACUGUAUUUGAUUUUGGGUUUUAUUUGUAGACUUGGUUUUGGUUUGGAAAUUUGAUUUGGGUUUCGGGUUUGGGUUUUUUUAUUUUGGUUUGGAUUUGGGUUUCGAUUGGGUUUUAUUUGCAGACUGAAUUUGAUUUGGGUUUAGGUUUGGGUUUUGGGUUUGGAUUUGGAUUUAGAUUUGGAUUUGAUUUGGUUUGGGUUCGUAUGUGAACUUGGUUUGAUUUGGGUUUGAAUGUGAACUUGGUUUGAUUUGGGUUGUAUGUGAACUUGAUUUGGUUUGAGUUUGAAUGUGAACUUGGUUUGAUUUGGGUUGUAUGUGAACUUGAUUUUCUUUCCAAUUCUAUUUCGGAUUCGAGGCAAUCCACUUUUGAUUUUGCAACUUGAUUCGAAUCCGAAGAAAUCCCUUUUUGAUUUUGGUUUGAUUUGGGGUCCGAAGAAAUCUCCGUUUGAUCUCGAUUUGGAUUUAGGGUCUGAAGAAAUCCCCGUUUUGAUUUUUCAAUUUGAUUUAAGGUCCGAAGAAAUUCCCGUUUGAUUUCGAUUUGGAUUUGAUUUUUCAAUUUGAUUUGGGGUCCGAAGAAAUCCCCGUUUGAUUAUCCAAUUGGAUUCGAUUUGGGGUCCGAAGAAAUCCCCGUUUGAUUCUCCAAUUUGGAUUUGAUUUUUCAAUUUGAUUUGGGGUCCGAAGAAAUACCCGUUUGAUUCUCCAAUUGGAUUCGAUUUGGAGUCCGAAGAAAUUCCCGUUUGAUUCUCCAAUUUGGAUUCGAUUUUCCAAUUUGAUUUUCGGUCCGAAGAAAUCCCAAUUUGAUUCUUCAAUUGGAUUUGAUUUGGGGUCCGAAGAAAUCCUCGUUUGAUUCUCCAAUUUAGAUUUGAUUUUUCAAUUUGAUUUGGAUUUGGGGUCCGAAGAAAUCCCCAUUUUGAUUUUCCAAUUUGAUUUGGGGUCCGAAAAAAUCCCUGUUUGAUUCUCCAAUUGGAUUUGAUUUAGGGUCCGAAGAAAUCCCCGUUUUAAUUUUAAUUUGGGGUCCGAAGAAAUCCCCGUUUGAUUCUCCAAUUGGAUUUGAUUUGGGGUCCGAAGAAAUUCCCGUUUGAUUCUCCAAUUGGAUUUGAUUUGGGGUCCGAAGAAAUCCCCAUUUUCAUUUUGAUUUGGGGUCCGAAGAAAUUCCCGUUUAGUUCUGAUUUGGGGUCCGAAGAAACGGGGAAUCUUUGAUUCCCCUCCCCUCUUCUGGCGAUACUUCCCCGGUGAUGCUGUAGAUGUCGUCGGCGAAGUUGUUGACGGUAGCAUGGAUCUGUUCAGCAGUCGGAUUUGAUUUGACAUUUUCGAAGAAAUAUUGAAUGGUCCGAAAAAACGGGGAAUCAAAGAUUCUCCUCCCUUCUUCUUUCGAAAGUAUCAAACCGGCGAUACUGUAGACGUCGUCGGUGAAGUUGUUGACGGUGGCACGGAUCUGUUAGGCCGUCGGAUUUAAUUUGACAUUUUCGAAGAAAUAUUGAAGGGUCCGAAGGAACGGGGAAUUAAAGAUUCCCCUCCCCUCUUCUUUCGAAAGUAUGAAACCGGCGAUGUUGGGGUGGUCGCGGCAAUAUAGAUCACCCAUUCCAUCAUCAACAACUUCGAAUGGGGUAUUGAGAGGUCCGAAGAAUCGGAGAAUCAAAGAUUCCCCUCCACUCUCCCAUCGAAACCAUCUAGAUGGUAUGGAUAGCUACGAUCGCAGGACCAAAAAAGAAAAAAAAAAAGGAGGGGAAAGAAAAGAGAUUUUUUUUUCUUCUUCUUCAUUUUUCUUCAUUUUUUUUUUUACCUGUUGAUCAAAUGACGCAUUGGAUGAAUCAGCUCGACGAUUCGUCCACCUUUCCACGGCUCGGCGAUCUCUCCUCCUUUUCACGGCUCGGCGAUUUCUCCUCCUUUCUGCGACUCGGCGAUCCUCCUCCUUUCCGCGACUCGGCGAUAUCUCCUUUUUUGAAUUUUUUGUAUGUCGGAACGAGUGUAGUAAUCUAUCUUCUUUUUUUUUGUUCUUUGUCUAUCGUAUCGUCUUCGUAAAAAAAUUCUCCCAUGUUUGAUUUCGGUUCUCGUAUUUAUAAUAGAAGGGGUGGUGAGAGAUAUUUUGAGGGAUUCGAAAUUCGAAUUUGAAUUUCGAAUAGGUUGUUGGAUGGUUGGAGGAUUUUUGGGAAUUGGUUGGAGAUUCAAAAUUCGAAAUCGAAUUUUGAAUCGGUUGUUGGAUGGUUGGAAUUGGUUGGGAAUUCGAAAUUCGAAAUCGAAUUUUAAAUCAGUUGUUGGAUGGUUGGAGGAUUUUUGGGAAUUGGUUAGGGAUUCGAAAUUCGAAAUCGAAUUUUGAAUUGGUUGUUGGAGGAUAUUUUGGAAAUUGGUUGGAAAUUCGAAAUUCGAAAUUGAAUUUUGAAUGGGUUGUUGGAUUGUUAGGUAUUCAAAAUUCGAAUGAGAGAUAUUUUGGGUGUUGGUUCGAAAUUCGAAAUCGAAUUUCGAAUCGAAUUUGAAUAUGGUAUUCAAGAUUGAAUUUUUAAAUAGUGGCGUAAAAAUGUGUGGCCGUUAUUUCAUGAAUAGGGCUGAAAUUGGCCAUACUUUGAUGAAACUUGUUGGGCACGAAUUUCAUUGGGCUGAAAUGAUGCCCAAAUUUUUGUAUAGGCCUAAAAUCUUACAGGGCUUUCAUGAGGCCCAUUAAUUCACAUUUAUGAAUGGGCCUAUUGUGGAUUAAAUCAUAAUUAUUAUUGGCCCAAGAUUUCUCAGUCAACAUAAGAUCUAUUGGGAUUGUAUGAAUCCGAAUUUAAUCGGUUUUAAUUACUUUACCUAAAUUUUUUUCACUUCAAACAACAAACGGCUCCGUUGCUAUAUAUAUAUAUAUAUAUAUAUAUAUAUAUAUAUAUAUAUAUAUAUAUAUAUAUAUUAUAUAUAUAUAUAUAUAUAUAUAUAUAUAUAUAUAUAUACACAUUAUCUCCAUGACUAAAUCUUACAUAUGUCACCACCUCAAUUUGAGGAGGAGUGGUUACUUUUAUUUUUUUUUAUUUUUUCUCCUUCUCUUUAGAUUUACUAAGGCCUAAAUAAUUUCUUUUUUUUAAUCCAUUUUCUUUACCUUUGGUCUUCCACCCUUUUUUUUAAAAUUUGCAAAUUCGAAUCUUUAUUGAGCUUUAUAUUCGAAGUCAAUUAUUGAUUAAAAAUGAUAUAUAUAUAUAUAUAUAUAUAUAUAUAUAUAAUAUAUAUAUAUAUAUAUAUAUAUAUAUAUAUAUAUAUAUAUAAUAGAGUUGAGCUAGAAUACUAUUGAUAGCAAACGGGCUCCGUUGCCACCCAUUUGUUUUCGACGAUGGAGCCUCCAAAUCGAUGAUCGGCACCGUUGAACAUGAUCUAUACCACUCGAAGUGUUUAGAAAUCAAAUUUCAUAUAUUUUCGAUAUUGUUCUUUAUCCAUCGAGUGGACACAAAAAAUGAACGGCUAAAAUAAAAAUAAAUAUUCUUUAAAAAUGAUGAUAGGAGUCUGGUAAUCAGAUCAAGAGUAUAGAUCUUGUUUUAAAUAGUUUAAAGAAUUUUCUAACAAAAAUUUAAUUGAUUUGGAUUCUUUACACCGUUAAACGAGGAAACGCCUCAUAUCGACCAUUAAAAUUACAAAUUUUGAAACCCAUUGAUCAUUAGGCAAAUGAUAUCGAAAAGAUUUAAAAUUUGAUUUCUAAACACUUCAAGUGGUAUAGAUCAUGUUCAACGGUGCGAUCGUCGAUUUGGGAAGCUCUAUCCUCGAAAACAAAUGAGUAGCAACGGAGCCCGUUUGCUAUCGAUAGUAUUCUAGCGUCAACUCUGUAUAUAUAUAUAUAUAUAUAUAUAUAGAGAGAGAGAGAGAGAGAGAGAGAGAGAGAGCGCUAGGCUUGUAUACUAUCGUAGCACGGAGGCCUCCGUGCUACCAAAUUGUUUUCAAUGAUGCGGUUUUUAAAUCGACGAUCGGCUCCGUUAGACUUGAUCUACAAUAUUAAAAGUAUUUGAAAACUAAAUUUUAUAAUUUUUCGACAUCAUUUGGCUAGUGAUCAAAAGGUCUCAAAAUUGACAAUUUUAAUGGUAGAUGUGACGCUUUUGUGAAUUUAACAGUAUAAAACAAUCCAAAUCCGAUAAAAUUUUUAUAGAAAUUUUUUUUCACUAUUUAAAGUAAGUUCAGUACCUUUGAUCUUAAAUUCAAGUCUUUUAUCAUCAUUUUUUUUGAGAUUUUUAUUUUCAGCCGUUUAUUUUUAGACUACUCAUUUGAUAGGUAAUGAUGCCGAAAAAGUAUGAAAUUUAAUUUUAAAGUAUUUUGAAUAGUGUAGAUCAAGUCUAAUGGGCCCAAUCGUCGAUUUGGAAGCCGCAUCAUUGAAAACAACUCGGUAGCACGGAGGCCUCCGUGCUACCGAUAGUAUAUCAGCCUAGCUCUCUCUCUCUCUCUAUAUAUAUAUAUAGAGUCCGGCUACUAUACUAUUAAUAGCACGAAACACUUGGUUAGCUACCAAGUUUUCUGCCGUUAGAUAUACCAUUUUUAUCAUUUUCACCCGUUAGAUCAUACUAUUCAUUCAACCAACCAUCCACUCAACCCACAUCAUCCUAACCGCACUUCUCUUAAUCCAAUGGCCAAAAACUUGGUAGCACCAAUGACUUGGUGCUAUUAAUAGUGUAUUAGCCUAGUUCUAUAUAUAUAUGGUCCCACAUCAUCCUAACCGCACAUCACUUAAUCCAAUGACCAAAAACUUGGUAGCACCAAUGACUUGGUGCUAUUAAUAGUAUAUUAGACUAAUUCUAUAUAUAUAUAUAUAUAUAUAUAUAUACUAGUUGAACGUACGUGCAACUGCACGUAACAAUUAUUUUAAUUUAUAUUAAAUCAAUAAAUAUUUGUAAAUCAUAUUUAUUCAAAAAUUUAGAAUAAAAUAUUUUCUAAAUUUAUAUAUUACAUUUUAUUAGAAAAUAUCUACAAUAUUAAAUUUAAAUUUUAAUAUAAAAUAGAUGGAUAAAUUUGAUAUCAAAAAUCAAAAAAUAAAUUUAAUUCAAAUUUAAACUCAAAUUUAAAUUUUAAUGUAAAAUAAAUAGAUAGAAGUACUACUUUUUAACAGAUUAAACAUAAUAGUUCAUUUUUAUUUGCAAUAUUUUUAACUAAUUGAUCAUAACCGUUCGUAGAAUUGAAGUUAUAGAAGUUAUAGAUAGGUAUGAAUGUUUUUUUUAACAAAUUAAUCAUAAUCAUUCGUUCUUAUUUUUGAUAAUUUUUUACAAAUUGAUCAUAAAUUUGUAUAUCAUAUUAAUUCAAAAAUAUGAUUUACAAAUUUAUCAACCAAUCUAUCUUUUAAAUUAUUUCCAUUGUAAUAUAUAGAUAGUAAAUUAAUUUUAAAUUUUGAAUUGAAAUAUAGACUUGCAGUAGAUAUUCUGGCAAAAAUUUGGAUAAGCAUGAAUUUUUUUUCUCUUUUAGAGAGAAAAAAAUUAAAUAAAAUUUUAAUUAAAAUAUAAAUUCACAGUAAAUAUCUUUCGGGUGGCAAAAAAAAUUGGAUAAGUGUAUUUUUUUUUAUUUUAGAGAUAAACAGAAAUUUAAAGUUUGUUUCAUUACGUUAUUUAUUUUACGUAAGGAAAAAGGAUAUCAAUAUUUUUUUCCCACCAAAAAUGGUCUGUCGAUAGACCCAAAUUUGAAAUUACGGGCUUUAUAUAUACUAGCUGAGUGUACGUGCAACUGCACGUAACAAUUAUUUUAAUUUAUUUUUAAAUCAAUAAUAUUUGUAUCAUAUUUAUCAAAAAUUUAUAAUUUGUUAAAUUUAUAUAUUACAUUUGAGCAAUUAACAUGCUAAAAAAAAAUAUAUUUGAAAUUAAAUAGAAAAAUAUAAAUCUGUUUAUCUUAAAAAGAAAAGAUAUUUUGAAAUUCUAAAAUUAAUAUAAAAAAAAACAAAAAAUCCGUUAUCUUUUAUAGGAUUUUCAUACCAAAAUAUUUAAAAAAAGAUAUUUUAAAAUAAAUUGAAAAAAUAUCUUUAUAUGAUUUUCACACCCGUAAUCUGUUUAUAAAACUUACUUUUUUAAAAUUAAAUAGAAAUACCUAAAAAGAUAUUUUAAAAUAAAUAGAAAAAUAUAAGUAAUCGGUUAUAGAGACAUACGUAUGCAUAGAGUUUCAUAUUUUAUUCUUAUAUUUAAAAUUUUUUUUGUACGCAAGAGGAAAAUGGGCGCUAUUUUCCCGCCGAAAUAUGGGUCUGUCGACAGACCCAAAUUUGAAUAUACGUGCUUUUAUAUAUAGUAUAGUGAUAUAGUAUAGAUAAAAUUAUCUAAUAUAUUAUGUGAGUUUUUCUUUUAGUCAUUUUAUUUAAUUAUCGUUUAUAAAAUAAUAUUAAUCAUACUAAUAAUUUUUAUUCGGACGAUUAAUUUUUUCAUUAAAAUUUUUUUUGAAAAAUAUUUGUUUAUAAUACAUACUAUAUUUAAUAUUUUUAUACUAAAUAAUAUUCUCAAUUUUUAUAAAUUUUUAUUUUAAUAAGCAUAUAUCCGUAGUGAGGGCGAGUCGUUACAUUAGCCUAUCCAUGGGGCCUCCCUCGCCGCCCUCACACGCUUCCUCAAGCCGUAUUAAUUCCUCCCCUCCGGCGUGUGCGGCCCGCGUGUCGGCUCAGGGCUAGCCCGUGACAUGGAGCCGUUACACUGACGCGCCGCCUGCAAAGCCUGCCACUGAUCCAGCGACGUUAACGAAAAGGCGCGGAAGACGGGGGCGGGUCACGGUCACGUUCUCACAGCAUCGCUGCCGUCACGCCCUAAUCCAGCAGAAGAGACGCUUCUUUUCCCCCCCCCCGCCUCCCCCCCCCUCCCCCCCCUCUGAGUCCCCCCCUCAUACUCAGAUAAAUCAUUGCGUGCGCCUGGUGCACCGUGCACCGCACCACUUAAAAGGUUUGUUUGGUUCGCCCAUUUUUCAUCCUAAAAUUAAAAUCGGAAUGAAGAAAUCUGUUUGUUUGUGAAUGUUUGGUUAUAAGAGAUUCCCCCCCUCAUACUCAGAUAAAUCAUUGCGUGCGCCUGGUGCCCCGUGCACCGCACCACCUAAAAGGCUUGUUUGGUUCGCCUAUUUUUCAUCCUAAAAUUGAAAUCGGAAUGGAGAAAUUUGUUUGUGUGUGUUUGGUUAUGAGAGAUUUCCAUUUCCAUUUCCAUUUCCAUUUCCAAGUAAAUGAAAAUCUGCUAAUUAUCUCUUUUUUCAAUCCGGUCUAGGAGGCCAUAUGGAAAAUUGAAUCCGAACGGAAUAGAUUUAUUCGGAUUAAAUUUAACUUUUUUUAACUUAUUUUCUAAUUAAACAAAUGUUUAAGUUUAAACAUUAUGUUUACAAAUUUUAAUUUUAAUUUGAAAUUAAAUUAAAAAUUAAAAUCCAAUCAAGUAUUUCGAAUUUAAUUUAUAAACUUAGAAUUUUAAUUUAAAUAUAAUUUAAAAUCUAAAUUUUUAUUCAAUUUUUUAUUUAAAAUUUAAAUUAAAUUUAUGAAUUUAAUUUGAAAUUUAAAUUAAAGUUUAAAUUUGAAUAAAUCGAAAUUUAAUUUUAUAUUUUGAAUUAUCCAUUCAUGUCAAAUCUUAAUUUUUCUAAAAAAUAUAUUUAAAAUUUUGACAUUAUUUUAAAAUUUUGAAGUAAAUUUUUAAUAUUUAAUUUUUAAUUUGAAUUUAAACUAAUAUAUUGUAAAAAUAAAAUUGACAUAUUAAUUUAAUUGCAUUUCUGAUAUCUAUCCAAACCAAAUACCGAUAAUAAGAAUGAUUCAUUUCGAUUUCGAUUCAAGUGGCGAACCAAAUAAUAUGCGAUUUUGUUUCUAGCUUAUUCUUAUUCUGAUUCCGAUAUCGAUUCCGAUUUUGAACCAAACGCAUCUAAAUUGUACUACAAAGACCUCAAAAUCAAAAGUUUCAACGAUGUAAAACUGUUAAAUGACAUCUAGAAGACAAAAAUUGAAAACAAAAAAUUCACAUCCUAUUUGGCAUCUUUGUCAGCUUUUUAAAAUAAAAUUUUCAUACAAAAAUGUAUAGGAAUGGACGGUGAAUUGCAUUUUAUACCUAAAAUAUUUAUUUAGCAAUAAAAAAAACUUGAAUGCAAUCUUUAAUUUUUCUUCUUUUUUUUUUUUUUGAAAAGAAUUGAUCAUUCAUCAUCUGACUGGAGUGCAUUAUAAGCUGACUACUAAUGAUAACAUUCAAGAGAGCACUUCAUUCUACCACAUAUUUAAUAAUAUAAAAUCGGUGUUAAAAAAUAAAGAAAAAAAAAAAGUAGUAUAUGCAAAACAAGGCCUACGCGGUCUAUCUAUUUUUAAUUUACACUAUUGAUUUUAUUAAAACCAGAUGCACAAGUAAUAGAUGUCAAAAUUAAUGAAUUUUUCGUAUUUUUAUUAACCUAAGGAAGCAAUUGAAACUCUUUAAAAAAUUCACAAAGAGACAAGUAAAAGUAGCAGUAGAUGGCAUAUUAAACAGCAAGUACUACUAAUACCCUAAUUAAUACAUAAGAGACCAUUUACAAAAGCAUCUUUGAUUGAGGGUGGGAACAAAAACUUUACAUUUAACAAAUCCAACAAUCAUGUUGAAAGUGUAGACCCUGGUGGGGAGCCCUCUUUUUCUAUAAGGCUGAAUCACACUUUUGGCCCACAAUUUAUAAGUUAGCAAUCAAGGUUUAAUUUGUUGUAAUUUUAUAUUUAAACAUUUUAAAUUAUCUCAAUCAAGUCUUACAAAUUAAAUUAAUUGACUAAAUAUUUAUAUACUGCUAAUGAAAUAGUGAUAUUGUGUUAUUGUAAUUGAUGACAAGAUAAUAAUUAAGGCUUAUUUUCACUUUGGCCAAAUCGACAAGUCAAUAUUUAUACUCAAGUUAAUUGGGUUGUGAAACGUGCAUUCAAUGAGUUAUAAAGUUUGAAUUUGAAAUGACAACGAAUUAAUAUCUUAAGAUUAAAGUGUCAAGCACAUCAUAAUUUAAGAAUCAAAAGUGUAAUCUACUCUUUUUCACAAAUAUAUUAUUUAGGGUUAAUUGCAUACACUUUCCUGUAAAUAUGGUGAAUUACAAAUAUAUUCCUACAAAACUCAACUUUCAUAAGUUGUUCCUGCAAGAGUCCUAAUGUAUGCAAAUAUGUCUCUCUGAUUAGGAUCUGUUAGGGAACUGCUAAUUUUUUAACAAUACGCUUGUGAAAUGAUAAUUUUGCCCUCACAAAUAUGUCCUUCCAAAAAUACUCUCUCUUUCUCCUCUUCCUCUUCGGGCCGCCGAAGUGGACGGCGACGGCAGCGGAUCAUCGACGACGACGACAAAGAAGAAAAAAGAGGAGAAGAGGAGGAUAUGAAGAAGAAGAAGAAGGAGGUGGCGGAGGUCGGAGGAGCUCGGAGGCGAGGGGGUUUGCGGUGAGGUCGGGGACGAGUUCGCCGGCGACGAAGAUGAGGGAAGAAAAAAAGGGAGAGGAAGAAGAAGGGAGAAGAGGGAGAGGAAGAAGGAAGAGGAAGAGGAAAAUGGAGAGGGUUCGCCGUCGCGGCGAGGUCGGGGUUGGCGAGGUCGGGGUCGGGUUCAUCGGUGACGAAGAAGAGGGAAGAGGAAGAGGGAGGGGAAGAGGGAAAAGGAAGAGAAACAGAGAGAGGGUUCGCCGCCGCUGUGAGGCCGGGUCGGGUUCGCCGGCGACGAAGGAAGAGGGAAGAGGAAGUGGGAGGGGAAGAAGAAAGGGGUAAAAUUAUAAAUUCAUCUUAUUAAUUAACUAUAUAUGGUUUAGUAUUUUAACUAUGGAUAAUGAAAUUUCUCUAACGAAAACUAACGGCAGUGACAUAUCUGCAUAUAUUAGGACUUUUGCAGGGACAAUUUAUAAAAGUUGAAUUUUGCAGGGAUAUAUUUGUAAUUCAUCAUGUUUGUAGAAACAUGUAUGCAAUUAACCCGUAUUAUUUAUAUUAAUAUAUGGCGGGCAAUUUAGCUCAUUGUUUGCCGAAGCUAGUCAUGUUCAGCUUAAAAUAAGCCGAGAUUGAAUCCUCGUUUGUAAACAAGCCAAAACACGAGUUGAAUUUUCCAACUUGUUUAAUAAAGAGAGCGGAAGCGAGUCAGGUGAACUCGCUCGUGUCAACUUCGGAUAAACAGCAUCGAAAAUAUUAUGAUAUAUAUAUAGUAUAUAUAUAUAUAUAAUAUAUAUAUAUAUAUAUAAUAUAUAUACUAAUUGAGAGAGAGAGAGAGAGAGAGAGAGCAAGAGAGAGAGAGAGAGAGAGAGGAGUCGCGGCUACUAAUCUGCUAUUAAUAGCAUUGAGGCGCAUUUCCCUAUCAACGUUUUGAUUGAUCGGAACUUCAAAUUGAUAAUCCACCGUGAAAUUGAUCUACACAAUUAGAAAUAUUUAGAAACCAAAUUUUUGUAAUAAUUAAAAAAUCAUUAUCAACGUUCAAUCUUAAGAUAAAAUGAAUGGUCGAAAUGAAUAAACUUAAUUAAAAAUAGAGGUUAGACUUUCUCAAUUCAAAUCAGAGUUGAUUCAAACAUUAUCUAAAUAAUAUAAAAAAUUUCUAAUCAAAAAUUCACAAUAUUAUUGGCUCAUAACAAACACGUUAAACAACCAAAACGCUCAUACAGGCCCGUCAAAAAAUUUUGUCGAUUUACGACACUUUGAUCACCAUGUAAAAUAAUUUUUAAAAAUUUAUUGAAAUUUAGUUUUAGAUAUUUCAAAAUACAUCAGAUCCAAACUUCACGGGUUCCCGAUCAAUGCGAUUCCAAAUGCCUCGAUCAUCAAAUAAAAUUGAUAGGAAAAGGUGUUCUAUUGCCUAAAUAGGAUAGUGCUCCCCGUUAUGAUAUAUACUAUAAACCAACACCCUAUCAACCGCUAGGGACCACUAAUCAUUUAACCGAAGACCACUAUCAUCCAUAACGCACAUUCCUUUAUCCAAAACGGCAGAAAACUCAAUAGUACCAAGGCUUGUACUAUUGAUAGUAUAUAGCAUAAUUAUAUAUAUAUAUAUAUAUAUAUAUUAUAUAUAAUAUAUAUAUUAUAUAGUGUGAGCUAGAAUAAACUAUCGAUAAGUAAACGAGCCGUUUUGGCUACCCCGAUUUGUUUUCGAUGAUCAGAAGUUUUCAAAAAUUGAACGAAUCGCUCCGUUAAAUAUGAUCUAAACCAUUUAAACUACCUAGAAAUCAAAUUUCACGCACUUUCGAUAUUGUUUUUUUAUCCAUCAAGUGAACAGAAAAAUGAAUGGUUGAAAAUAAAUACUUUUUAAAAAAUGAUGAUAGGAGUCUUGUAAUCAAGAUCAAGAGUAUAGAUCUUGUUUUAAAUAGUUUAAAGAAUUUUCUAACAAAAAUUCAAUUGAUUUGGAUAUCUUUACGCCGUUAAACGAGAAAACGCCUCUUAUCGACCAUUAAAAUUACAAAUUUUAAAACCCUUUGAUCAUUAGGCAAAUGAUGUCGAAAAGAUUUGAAAUUUGAUUUCUAAACACUUCAAGUGGUAUAGAUCAUGUUCAACGGAGCCGAUCGUCAAUUUGGAAGCUCUAUCAUCGAAAACAAAUCAGUAGUAAAACGACUCGUUUACUACCGAUAGUAUUCUACCUCAACUAUAUAUAUAUAUAUAUAUAUAUAUAUAUAUAUAUAUAUAUAUAUAGAGAGAGAGAGAGAGAGAGAGAGAGAGAGAGAGAGAGAGAGAGAGAGAGAGAGAAAGGCUACUAUCCUAUUAAUAGGAUUGGGACCCUUGUCCUAUCAAGUCGAUUUGAUCGAUCGGAAGUUCAAAUUGAUAAUCGGCACCGUUGAAAUUGAUCUACACAAUUAGAAAUAUUUAGAAACCAAAUUUUGUAAUAUUUCAUUAUCAAGUUCAUCUUGAAAGUUGAAAAAUAAAUGGUCAUAAAUAAAUAACCUUAUUAAAAUAGAGGUUAGACUUUCUCAAUUCAUAAUCAGAGUUAUCAAACGUUAUCUAAAUAGUAUAAAAAAUUUUCUAUCAAAAAUUCAAGCAAUUUGGAUUGCUCUACACCGUUAAACAAGCAAACGGCUCAUAUAGGCCGUCAAAAAUUGUCAAUUUUACGACACUUUGAUCACCAUGUAAAUAAUUUUUAAAAUUUAUGAAAUUUAGUUUUUAGAUAUUUCAAAUGCUCUAGAUCAACUUCAACGGCUCCGAUCAUCGAUUCGGAAUCCCUAUCGUCAAGAACAAUUUGAUAGGACAAGUGCUACUAUCCUAUUAAUAGGAUAGUAGCCCUAAUAUAUAUAUAUAUAUAUAUAGAGUUGAGCUAGAAUACUCUCAAAGUAUCAAGAUGUUGGUGCUUUUGAGUUUUUAACCCUUGGAUGGAGAAAUGUACGGUUGGGAUGAUGGUGGUAGGUGGUGGUAGGUGGAAUAGUGUUUGAUCCAAGGGCUAUUAGUAAAUAAGGAGUAGAUCCGAGGACUAAAAACCUAAUAGCACCAAGGGUGUGAUACUUCUAAAAGUAUUCUAGCUUAAUUCCAUAUAUAUAUAUAUAUAUAUAUAUAUAUAUAUAUAUAUAUAUAUAUAUAUAUAUAGAGUUUUGCUAGAAUACUAUCGGUAGUAAACGGCUCGGUUUACUACCGAUUUAUUUUCGAUGAUAGAGCUUCCAAAUUGAUAAUCGACACCAUUAAACAUGAUCCAAACUAUUUAAACUAUCUGGAAAUCAAAUUUCACACAUUUUCGAUAUUGUUCUUUUGUCCAUCAAGUGAACAGAAAAAUGAAUGGCUGGAAAUGAAUAUCCGUCAAAAAGUGAUGAUACAAUUUUUAUAUUUGAGAUCUAGAGUCUAGAUCUUAUUUUAAAUAGUUUAAAGAAUUUUUUAAUAAAAAUUUAGUUGAUUUGAACUCUUUUAUACCGUUAAACGAGCAAAUGCACUAUAUCGGCCAUUAAAAUUAUAGAUUUUGUGACCCUUUGAUCGUUUAGUUAGUGAUGCCAAAAAAUCAUGAAAUUUAAUUUCUAGAUAAUUUAAAUGGUUUAGAUCAUGUUCAACGGUGCAGAUCGUUGAUUUGGAAGCUCUAUCAUCAAAAACAAAUCGGUAGUAAAAUGAGCAGUUUACUACCGAUAGUAGCCCAAUACAAAUUUUUAUUAUUUAAUUUUUAGCCCAAUUUAAAUAUAAAACUUAACUCAAUUAUAAUAUAUAUAUAUAUAUAUAUUUCAACUAUUAGAUCAAAAUCUAUUAGGUAAGAUUUCAUAAAUUUAUUUUCUAUAUGUAUUAUUUUUAAUACUAUUAACUUGUUAUUCGUGAACUAGCUCGUACUCGGUUCGUUUUUUCAGUUUGAUACUUUAAAAAACAAGGUCAUGUUUGGUUUGGUUCAUCUCACUCGUGUUCGGCUCUUUAACACCCCUAAUUUAGAUAUUAUAUAUUAUAUUUAUUAAACUAUAUCUGAUUAUGAGGUGUAUGGAUAUACUAGUUGCGGGCAAUAAUUUCUCACCUAUCCCGCCCUCCCUCUCUCAACUGCUUUUCAGCGAGAAAGAAGGAAAAAAAGAGAGGCGAGGUGUAAAGAAAGAAAGACCAAAAAACAUUCAAUCACGCCUCCCUACAAUUGCCUAUUCGGGUUAGUCAGUGAUGGUUCCCGCACUAGCUUUGCGUGAAAAAAUAUAUGGUUAGUCCCUGUACUAUCCCAAAAUUGCAACUCGGCCCCUGUACCUUUUACUAUCAGAUGCGGCUUCUAUGAAAAUUUUGUAACAACAAAAUUUAGUUGGUUAUCGACCAUCUUUAGAGCAAGUGGCAAAGAACUUAGUAGCGUUAGUACCCGAGACCCAAAUUCGAAUCCUACCUGAUUCACAUUUCCAGCUAAGUUUAUUUCUAAAUGAAAUAAACGAAGCGAGUAGCGUGCUAUUUAUCUCUCUCAAAAAAAAAAAAACAAAAUUUAGUUGGUUUCCCAGGCUAAUUAUCUAAGAAUUUUAUAGAAACUUAUUAAUAAUCAACUAAUUAAUGUUGAUAUAAGUAGCAGUUUGAUUGCAUGUAGUUGCAACUGUACUGUAGUUGUAACUACAUAUAAAUACAAAUUAGGUUUGGUUUGAUAUAUUUAAUUCUAAUUGCUACAGUAAGAACUAAAGGAGGACGCCUAAUUAUAGCAGUUGAAACUACGCUCAAAUUGAUCACAAUUUUCAACUGCAGCAGUUGGAAAGAAUAUCUUUAAGUAAAAGAUAAACUUACCUCCCUAAUUAUUUUUUAAACAAACAAUAUAUAUUUUUUAUAUUGAAGGUAAUCUCUCUAUCAUAUAUAUAAAAUAAUAAAUUUUUAAAUAUUACUUCAAACUGCAUGCAACCAAACAAAUUAUUUGUAAUUGCAUUGUUUUCUACUAUAUCCAAUUAAACAGAAUGCAUGUAGUUGUAAUUACUGUAUUUUUAGCUACAUGUAUCUCCAGCUAUACUGUAUUUAUAAUUUAUAUCUAAUCAAAUGAUCCCUAAGUGUAUAUAGUAUGUUAAGUGAUUAUAAUGAUUAAAACUGAAAAUUAUUUACGGGAACAUUUAUAAAAAAUUUCUAAAAAUAUUUAGUUAAGUUAUUUUAUUUAUGUGAGAGGAAAAAUUUUAUAGAAAUUCAUUGGUAACUAGAUAAAUUUAUAAGACUAUACAUGUACAAAAUAUAAAAAAUAAAAUAAUUGAAAUAAUUAAAUGUAGUUAAAGAAAUGAAAGAAGACAAAAAAAAUGUGAGGUGUACGAGCUACUAUAACUAAAUUAUAUUAUAAAACUAUACUAGUAAAAAGCCCGUGCUUGGAUGCGGAUAGAUAAUAUUUCAACUAAUAUAUAUAUAUAUAUAGAGUUCGGCUACUAUGCUAUCAAUAGCACGGAGCAUUCGGUGCUAUCAAGUUUUUCGCUAUUAGAUCUACCCCUUUGAUCAUUUUUAUCCGUUAGAUUAUACUAUUUAACCAACCACCUACUCAACCCUCGGGGGCCCACAUCAUCCUAAUCGCACAUCUCUCAAUCCAAUGGCCGAAAACUUGGUAGUACUAAUGAUUUGGUGCUACUAAUAGCAUAGUAGCCUAGUUCUAUAUAUAUAUAGUCUGGCUGCUAUACUAUCGGUAACACGGAAGCUUCCGUGCUACCAAGUUGUUUUCGAUGAUGUGAUUUUCAAAUCGACGAUCGGCUCCGUUAGACUUUGAUCUAUACUAUUGAAAGUAUUUGAAAACUAAAUUUUAGAAUUUUUCGACAUCAUUUGGCUAGUGAUCAAAAGGUCUCAAAAUUGACAAUUUUAAUGGUAGAUGUGAUGCAUUCGUAAAUUUAAUGGUGUAAAACAAUCCAAAUCAGAUGAAAUUUUUAUAGAAAUUUUUUUUUACUAUUUAGAGUAAGAUCAAUACAUCUGAUCUUAAAUUCAAGUCUUCUAUCAUCAUUUUUUAUGAGAUUUUUAUUUUCAGCCGUUCAUUUUUAGACUACUCGUUUGAUAUGUAAAUGAUACCGAAAAAUUAUGAAAUUUAGUUUCCAAAUACUUUCAAUAGUGUAGAUCAAGUCUAACGAAGCCGAUCGUCGAUUUGGAAGCGGCAUCAUUGAAAACAACAAACUUACACGGGACGUCCAGCUACCGAUUAAGCAUAGCACGCCUAGUCGUGUGUGAUAAUUUAUAUAUUAUACAUAUUAUAUUAUAUAUAUAUAAUAAUAAUAUAAAAAUAUAUAAUAACUAUAAUUAUAACUAGGAAUAUAUAUAAUGCACCAUAUACCUUGGUGCUGAGUUAAGUUUUCUGCAUUGAAUAAAAUAUGUGCGUACGGAGAUUGUGCCCCUGGGUGAGGUGGUUGAUAGUAUCAUCGAACGGAAAAUGAUACAAGAAGUAAAUUCUAACGCAGAAAACGUUCGAUCAGCACCAAAUGCUUCGUGCUACCGAUAGAUCCAGCUGGCUAAUAUAAACAUUAUAGAUAUCAUAUAUUAUAUAUAGUAUUAGUGUCCCUUAGGUGUGGGUGUUGGUUAAAUAGUACUUGAUCUAACGGAUAUGAAUAAUGAUAAUGAAUAAAUUAAGGGUCGAAAAACUUAUGGUAUUUAAGGAGCUAAACUAAUUAAAUAGUAGCCGACUCAAUAUAUAGGCUGGGACGACAUCAUUCACUCUUAUGCAUUAUAACCCCUUAUACUCAUCAAAUAUUUUAAUUCGUGAUUAAUGUAUAUGUGUGCUCUAGGAAUGUGGUCCCAUUAAGAAUCAUAGUAGUCCCUUAGGUUUAGUGGGUAUUGUAAAUAGUAUAAUCAACGGAUGAAAAUGAAUUAAUAGGAAUAAAGUUUUUUGAGUAGGUUUCGAAAACUUAUGAAGUAUUAAAGGACUAAAUACUCAAUAAAUGUAUAGUAGCCGACUCAUAAAUAUAGGGCGACACAUAAUCUUUGAGUUAGUAGACCCUUAAUCUCAUAAAUUUUAACCGUGAAUUGAUAGUGUGUUUGGUGAUGACUGGUCCCCACUUAGAAUUGAUAGGUGUUCCCUGGGUUUAUGGUUAGUUGAUAAAUAGUAUGAUCUAACGGAUGAAAUCAGAUUAUUGGAAUUAAAGUCUAAGUCCGAAAACUUAUGAUGUGAGUAAAUGAGCAUAUACUCAUAAAAGAAUAUAGUAGCCGGACUCAAUAUCAGUUUUGAGGGUUUAUAAUAUAUAUAUAUAUAUAUAUAUAUAUAUAUAUAUAGUUAUUAAAAUUUUAGAAACAAAAAAAAAUUAUAUCAAAAAAAUAUAAAAAAAGAAAAAAUAUAUAUAAAAUAGUCUUAUGCCAAUUAUAAAAAAUAACUUUUUUAAUUAAUAUUUUCUUACCUUUCAGUAUUUAUAAAGUUGAAUUAUUAUAAAACUUUUAUUUAAAAAUUUAAUCAAAUUUUAUAGUUUUGAUAACUAUUCUAUAAAUAAAUUUUUUAACUUAAAGUUGGAGGGUUGAUUUCAAAUUGAAGAGUAAGUGAGAGUGUCAUUAUCUUGUUAAAAUUGAUUAGAAAAGAAGAAACUAUUAUAUGCACCUGAUGUAUAUUACACCGCAACUUAUGUUAAAUGACUAAUGUGCUAAUUAUUAGAUAUAUAAUCUAGAAAACAACUAGGCUAACUCAUGUAUUCUUUUUAGAAUAUAAAUUUAUAUUUAAUUUAAAUAUUAUGAAUGAAUUUAAAUUUUUAUUUUUAUUCAUGUUGUGUAUGUGCCCAUUAAUCAUCAAAAUAAUUAAUAAAAUGAUGACAAGUAUUCUCAAGAAUUGAAAAUUUGAGGCAUGUGUCAUUGAUGAUUAAUUACUAAAUGCUCCUGAUCGAUGGAUCAUUACGGAGACGGUGAUUGAUCUGAUAAGAUUAGGGAACAUGUUUCUUCCCUUUUGGGUAGACGAGUUUCAAGUUAACAGUAUGAGGAAACUGGAUCAAAUAUACAGGUUGUUGCUAGAGAACAAAGGUACCGAGCGUG
rnacentral:lncRNA from 1 species